AGUGAACGCUGGCGGUAGGCCUAACACAUGCAAGUCGAACGGCAGCACAGUAAGAGCUUGCUCUUACGGGUGGCGAGUGGCGGACGGGUGAGGAAUACAUCGGAAUCUACUUUUUCGUGGGGGAUAACGUAGGGAAACUUACGCUAAUACCGCAUACGACCUACGGGUGAAAGCAGGGGAUCUUCGGACCUUGCGCGAUUGAAUGAGCCGAUGUCGGAUUAGCUAGUUGGCGGGGUAAAGGCCCACCAAGGCGACAAUCCGUAGCUGGUCUGAGAGGAUGAUCAGCCACACUGGAACUGAGACACGGUCCAGACUCCUACGGGAGGCAGCAGUGGGGAAUAUUGGACAAUGGGCGCAAGCCUGAUCCAGCCAUACCGCGUGGGUGAAGAAGGCCUUCGGGUUGUAAAGCCCUUUUGUUGGGAAAGAAAGGCAGCAGGUUAAUACCCCGCUGUUCUGACGGUACCCAAAGAAUAAGCACCGGCUAACUUCGUG
rnacentral:rRNA from 1 species